rnacentral:lncRNA from 1 species
GAAGAAAUAUUGGGGGUUGUAAUGUUCUUCAAGAUGAACUUUGGGCCAUUUUUUACGGUUUCCAAUUAUCUUGGGCAGCUAAAUGGGUGAAUAUUAUUGUAGAAGACCCAUUUCGCCUAGGCCUUUAGACUUAUAAAUAAAAAAACCAACAUAUAAAUUAUAAACCAGAAAUAAAAAUUAAGAUUGUUUAUAGUCCAUAAAUACAAACCCAAAAUCGGAACCCCAAUUCUAGAACCCACUUCACUAAGGCCCAAUUUUAACCCUAAAUACAAAUCUUGAAAUAAAAGCCCAAACAUUAAAAUUAAUAAACUCGAACCCAAUGGCCCAAAAAGAAAUUAGCCUAGAAGGCCCAACAAGUAAAUUCUUUCAAAAACCCUAAAGGUUUCUGAAGCUUCCCCGCGCCGCAAUGGUCUCCACUCGACUCCAGAAUAGGCUCACGGGCCCAAGUAAGUUGAAGUUUCUGAAAGCCUGUGCCACAACUCCCACGAACGGUCGUGCCACGUCCGCAGCCCCUCCGUACGGCCAUAGAACCUUGAGAAGAAACAACAAAAGUAGCACCAGAAUAGCCAGCAAAAAUAAGAGUUUUUAUUAUUAUUCUAUUUUAUUCCAAAAAUCGGCUAUAAAGAGGCCGAAUGUAAUCUGUGUAAACCUGACGCAUACUAAAUACAAAGAAAAAGGCAACUGAAAAUUAUUGAAAGGUGAUCUCAAAUUCUUUUUUCUUUUCGAUUUGUUUUUCCUCUUUGGGUUUUGCAUGUAGUCUUUUGCAUAAGAAAAUAAAGAGAGGGGAGUUUGCGAACGAGCCAUCGGAGUCCUUAUCUCCUUCGUCGAAAUCGAAGCUUGAGAUAGGGAUUUUGGGGUGUAAAUCGGCCGAAUAGUGAAAGGGAAAGUUUCUUUUGUUUUUAAAGUGGCUAGGGUUUUUUUUUUAAAAAAAAAGAAAGGUUGAUUGUUUUAAGGAAGAAAAUGUUGAAUUUAUAAGAGGGAAGAAACGACGUCGUAUAGGGUGACCCGAUUCAACCCCGACCCAAUGCCCAUGAGGAUCGACGCGUUUUGCUUAAAGGGAAUAUUUGCGCAAUGAGUCCCUCCCUUUCGCCCAGUUAUUCAAUUGGGCCUUAUUUGUAUUUUCU